GAUGAACGCUGGCGGCGUGCCUAAUACAUGCAAGUCGAGCGAACAGAUGAGGAGCUUGCUCCUCUGACGUUAGCGGCGGACGGGUGAGUAACACGUGGAUAACCUACCUAUAAGACUGGGAUAACUUCGGGAAACCGGAGCUAAUACCGGAUAAUAUAUUGAACCGCAUGGUUCAAUAGUGAAAGACGGUUUUGCUGUCACUUAUAGAUGGAUCCGCGCCGCAUUAGCUAGUUGGUAAGGUAACGGCUUACCAAGGCAACGAUGCGUAGCCGACCUGAGAGAGUGAUAGGCCACACUGGAACUGAGACACGGUCAAGACGCCUAAGGGAGGCAGCAGUAGGGAAUGUUACGCAAUGGGCGAAAGCCUGACGGAGCAACGCAGCGUGAGUGAUGAAGGUCUUCGGAUCGUAAAGCUGUGUUAUUAGGGAAGAACAAAUGUGUAAGUAAAUAUGCACGUCUUGACGGUACCUAAUCAGAAAGCCACGGCUAACUACGUG
rnacentral:rRNA from 1 species